AUUGAACGCUGGCGGCAUGCCUUACACAUGCAAGUCGAACGGUAACAGGUCUUCGGCCGCUGACGAGUGGCGAACGGGUGAGUAAUACAUCGGAACGUGCCCGAUCGUGGGGGAUAACGAGGCGAAAGCUUUGCUAAUACCGCAUACGAUCUACGGAUGAAAGCGGGGGAUCUUCGGACCUCGCGCGGACGGAGCGGCCGAUGGCAGAUUAGGUAGUUGGUGGGAUAAAAGCUUACCAAGCCGACGAUCUGUAGCUGGUCUGAGAGGAUGAUCAGCCACACUGGGACUGAGACACGGCCCAGACCCCUACGGGAGGCAGCAGUGGGGAAUUUUGGACAAUGGGCGAAAGCCUGAUCCAGCCAUGCCGCGUGCAGGAUGAAGGCCUUCGGGUUGUAAACUGCUUUUGUACGGAACGAAAGGCCUCUUUCUAAUAAAGAGGGGUCAUGACGGUACCGUAAGAAUAAGCACCGGCUAACUACGUG
rnacentral:rRNA from 1 species